rnacentral:rRNA from 1 species
GUUUGAUCCUGGCUCAGAGCGAACGUUAGCGGCAGGCUUAACACAUGCAAGUCGAGCGAGAAAGGGGCUUCGGCUCCGAGUAAAGCGGCGGACGGGUGCGUAACACGUGGAUAAUCUGCCUCGUGGCGGGGGACAACAGUCCGAAAGGACUGCUAAUACCGCAUGUCAGGUCGGAAACUCCGGUUUCUGACGAAAAAGAGGGCGCCCGCAAGGGGCUCUCACCACGAGAUGAGUCCGCGUCCCAUCAGCUAGUUGGCGGUGUAAUAGACCACCAAGGCUUAGACGGGUAGCUGGUCUGAGAGGAUGACCAGCCACACUGGGACUGAGACACGGCCCAGACUCCUACGGGAGGCAGCAGUGGGGAAUAUUGGACAAUGGGCGAAAGCCUGAUCCAGCCAUGCCGCGUGAGUGAUGAAGGCCUCGGUCGUAAGAC